rnacentral:rRNA from 1 species
AUUGAACGCUGGCGGCAUGCCUUACACAUGCAAGUCGAACGGCAGCACGGACUUCGGUCUGGUGGCGAGUGGCGAACGGGUGAGUAAUGUAUCGGAACGUACCUUUCAGUGGGGGAUAACGUAGCGAAAGUUACGCUAAUACCGCAUAUUCUGUGAGCAGGAAAGCAGGGGAUCGCAAGACCUUGCGCUGAUUGAGCGGCCGAUAUCAGAUUAGCUAGUUGGUGAGGUAAAGGCUCACCAAGGCGACGAUCUGUAGCGGGUCUGAGAGGAUGAUCCGCCACACUGGAACUGAGACACGGUCCAGACU